UCUGAGCAAAAUAUAAUAAAAAAUUGCUUAAAUGAAGAUAAUAUUACGAAAUAUGGCUUUUCUGAAGAAACUGUUAUGGAUACUGCAACGGCUCUUUCGGUUCAUAUCGAAACCGAAGAGGAAGUUUGUGGAAACUCCACUUUUGUUGACCGGAACGGAUAUAUAAGAACUGCUAAUGAAGAAAAAGUAAGUUUAUCCGGCUUAUCGCUUUCGCCAUUUU